rnacentral:piRNA from 1 species
AGAUUCCAGAAGAUGGCUCGCUGA